rnacentral:tRNA from 1 species
GUCCACGUAGUUCAAUGGAUAGAAUAAUGGUUUCCGGUACCAUUGAUGGCGGUUCGAAUCCGCCCGAGGACA